GUCCAAGCUUUGCUGAAGACCUAAGGACUUUGGGAUUGAUAGGAUAAAGACUCAAAUCCUCAGCAGGGCAUCUAAGGCCCCUCAUGAUCUGGCCCCUGGAGACCUUACCAGUGCCCCCAGCCCUGUCCCGAGUGGCGCCAGUCUGCUCACAGGCCCCCAGCCCAGGUUUCAGCUCAAAUAUCACUUCUUCAGGGAAACCUCCCUGGAUCCCCCUGACUGCUUCAGCCCUUCUGCCUAGUACAUCUCAGAGCACAUUUCCUUAUCAAAUAUCAUGAGACAAGGUCUUUCUCUGCCACUCAAGCUGGAGUGCAGUGGCAUGAUCAUAGCUCACUGCAGCAUCAACCUCCUGGGCUCAAGCCAUCUUCCAACCUCACAGCCACCUGGGUAGCUGGGACUAUGGGUACCCACCCCAUACCCGGAGCUGACAAGCCAUAGCAGGACGGCUAUCCCCUGAGAGAUAGGAGAGGAGGAGAAACAGCCUGACAGGGGCCUGGAGCAGCUGGCUGGCGUCAGUAAUUUCCUGCAGGAGACUCUGCUGGCCGAGCACACAUCACCCUUCUGUUGCUCCUCUGUAUUCUCCCUUGUGCUACUAAAAUACGCUAAUGUAACUCCUGGGCUGUGCUAAGCUAAAUGCAGUUAUUUAACCUCAUUUCUAUGGAACCCAGGUCUAAAGCAGCAACAUCUAUUUGGAACAAGAUGGGGAGGAGGUAAGCCUCAAACAUCCCUGAGCAGCAGGAAUACACAUUACAAAGUUUCUCUUUCCACCCAGAAGAGACUUCUGGGCCCUUGCUUGAGACCACUGACUUUUACUUAACACCUAGGUCUAGUUAGCUUGGUGAACUGUUUUCUGACACCUGAACAGAUUGGAAGCAGGGAAUCGAAGGUGAGGAAAGACUGCCACAAACAGGAGCCAAGAAUUAAGAGCCAAACCAAGGAGGUGACAUUCACGACGACAACUGUGGAUGGAAAUCCUGCCCAAAGGGGGAUGUUGGAUGAAUGGCUCCUAAGUCCCCUUCCAACAUUUCAGUUCAUGGCUCUGAGUGUCCCUGGUUUGAUUGUGAUGGUAAAGGCAGAUAAGAGGGCGAGGGAGACCUCUGUGGAGAGCUGGUGCCCAGCAGGAGGUAUGGCCCUAUGUUUUAGUGCCCAGGAGUACUUGCCUGCUUUUGCUGGAGUCCUCUGGGCUCAAUAUGUGCUCUUGACCCCCACUUCAUUUUUUUUUUUUUUUUUUUUUGCCAGCAAGAGUGAAUUCAUGCUCUUCUUCAUGGAGGUGGAUGUUUCUGGAAGGAGGUUUGUGAUGUCCUUUGCAGGGACAUGGAUGGAGUUGGAAGCCCUUAUCCUCAGCAAACUAAUGCAGGAACAGAAAACCAAACACUGCAUGUUCUUACUUAUAAGUGGGAACUGAAUGAUGAGAACACAUGGACACAUAAGGGGAAAUGACACACACUGGGGCCUGUCAGAGCUGAGGGGUUGUGGGGAGAGGGAGAGAAUCAGGAAUAAUGGCUAAUGUAUGCUGUGCUUAAUAUCUAGGUGAUGGGAUGAUCUGUGCAGCAAACCACCAUGGCACACGUUUACCUAUGUAACAAACCUGGACAUCCUGCACAUGUAUCCUGGAACUUAAAAUAAAAGUUGAAGAAAAAAAAAAAGAAAAAGUUUUGUGAAGUCUGGAGGUGUAAUGGACAGACACAGGCUUAGGGUGAGGCAGGCCCAUGUUCAGAUCCUUGCUUCCUCACUAAGCUAGCAGGGAGACUGGCUAUAUCACUGAGCCUCAGUUUCCUCACCUGUACAUCUGCUGUAGAAGUGGCACAUCAUAUGCUGUCCUGGCUGUGACCUUUGGUAGCUCAUCACUGCCCUUCUUACUGUUCUCAGGGUAAACCCCUUUCCAGGCAGAGUUGCCAAGACACCCAGUAAAAUUUGAAUUUUGG
rnacentral:lncRNA from 1 species